GACGAACCGAGCGAACGUUGUUCGGAAUCACUGGGCUUAAAGGGCGCGUAGGCGGGCUGUCAAGUCUGGGGUGAAAUCCCGCGGCUCAACCGUGGAACUGCCUUAGAUACUGACGGCCUCGAGGGAGAUAGGGGCGAGCGGAACUGUGAGUGGAGCGGUGAAAUGCGUUGAUAUUCACAGGAACUCCGGUGGCGAAGGCGGCUCGCUGGAUCUCUUCUGACGCUGAGGCGCGAAAGCUAGGGGAGCGAACCGG
rnacentral:rRNA from 1 species